UGAGGGCACGACCACCUCCACCCCGUCGGCCCUCUCUCCCACGCUGCCGUCGCUCCCCACCGAUGUCGCUGCCUCCCGCCGCUCCAGGAGAGCACUGCUCUGACUCUUCGGCCAUGCGCCGGCCCUCCUCUUCGCCCUAGCCACGAGCGCUGCCACUCCAUGGCGGGGUCACAUCACCUUCCCAGAUGCGGCGGAGGCUUCAUAUCCAUGGCGACGGCGGCCUGGAGCUCCUCCCACUCUGCUCCUCACCCUGUUACUGUCCUGUGCCCCUUCCCCUGCUCCAUGAAUGGAUUCUCUGGAAACUGCGAUAUGACUCAAUAUUUCCUAUAGCCCUACUCCAUAGCGCUGAUGGAUUCACCUCCAGAUGGAUAGCAACGAUCUCAGGAUGAUGCCAAAAUCUUAAAUGAUUAGCGUGGGCGGAGCGGCAUAUUAACGCUCACGAACCUGCCAGGUCACCGGCUGUCGGGCAGAUGCCGGUCAUUGGCGGCCGAGACGACGAACCACAGGGCAGCGGGGACAUCCUUGGUGGUGUUCAUAACCAUCACCUUAAUCUUCUCGUCUGUAGGCAUCUUCUUGAAUCCGCAUCACAAAUCCAGCCGUACUUUUUUUGUUCGGACACUGAGUUUUUCAUGGUGUCACAGAUGUAGGAUAAGAAAGCAAUCUCGCUGGCCCUCGGCAGCUCUUGGAUUCUUUGCUAUCUUACCUGUCCUCGCUGCUUCGGUCGCGUCCCUCACCUUCUCCACUAGGCUAUGGCUUAGUAUGCAUGGUACUCUGUUAUCGAAGCUUCAAACUAAGACAUGGAAGGAUUUGGGCCUACCUUACAAAGUUGAAGAGACUCAAAGUCUAAACAGUCAAGUGUCCACUGGGCAUUGCUGGACGAGUAAUGGCACGGUAUGUAGAUAAAAGAAAGCUGACUAGAAAGAUCUCUAAAAUCUCUCUACAGUUAUUUUGGUAGGCUAAUGACUAUAUUUCUGAUCAUUUUUAAAUGUUAGUGAUUUGGCUGGGGCCACACAUGCCCAUAACUUUAUAGAAUGACAUUACAUCAAGGGUAUAGACCUAUUUAAGUGUGCCUCCCAUGGCAUUGUUGUACGAGUAAUGGAAAGGUAUGUAGAUAAAAGAAAGCUGACCAGAAAGAGCUCUGAUGUACAUACUAUUUCCUGGACUAGGUUUUCUAUCUUAAGUCGGACAAUAAGAUGUUGAGUGUGAGCAUUGUGUAAUACUUCAUAUCCAAUUUCCUGCCUAUUAAUUCAUAAUGAUGAGGUCUCUCAAUUUCUGUUAUGUCACUUGAUAGGUCAGUGAUGUUCUGAACUUUCUGUUAUCAGAACUUGUCCUUAUUUUCUCAAUUAUGUAUUUGCUAAAACAAAUAGUCUCUGAACUCAUGUUGACUAGAGUAAUGUGCAAGCUCAGAUGAGAACAUUACAUGCUUUCCUUUUUCUAAUACUUGCCACUGAGGGUUUACAGAGUCUGGACAUUUGCAUGCAUUUUUUAUUGUUGUUGCCCAUCGGUAUCUCCUAAGAUACUUUUUAGUUUCUAUUUUCUAUCUGUAUUGCAGUUCUGAAAAGAAAAGGGCUGUUGCAUUAGGCUCGCCUAUUUUUUCUGUUUCCAAACACGGUGGCUCUUCUGGAGAGGCAUCUGAAGAUUUCAUUAAUGCUCCAUGUAAACAAUCUGCUACUUAUUAUUUUUCUUGGUAGUAUUGAUUACUUGUAUUUACUCCAUACAAUAUUGUGUAUUUUGUCGUACCAAUCAUAUUUCUAUGUGUAAACCUUGCUUUUAUCGAUUAUAUAUGAGAUUUCUUUGAUCACUGGCUAAUAUUUAGUUAUGUUUAUUGGAAUUUAUUGUGCUUCAUGUAGUCAUCUAUUCAAGAAAAUUCCUAUUAUUUGUAUUGUACAAAUAGACGGGCGCAGCAACACGCCACAUCAUUGUGUUCUAAAAUUUUGUAAUGUCCCUUUAGUUUCCACUUACCGGCCAUUUACGGAGCUAGGGAUAUACUUUGCCACUGCAAACAAAAUGUUAGAUUAGCAUAACCUUUGGUCUCCACUUACUGGCCAUUUUGUAGUAUAUGUUAUGUUCGCAGUUCUUCUAAAAUUUAAUCAAAAA